UGCCUACGGGAGGCAGCAGUGAGGGAUAUUGGUCAAUGGGGGAAACCCUGAACCAGCAACGCCGCGUGAGGGAAGACGGUUUUCGGAUUGUAAACCUCUGUCCUCUGUGAAGAUGAUGACGGUAGCAGAGGAGGAAGCUCCGGCUAACUACGUGCCAGCAGCCGCGGGAAUACGUAGGGAGCAAGCGUUGUCCGGAUUUACUGGGUGUAAAGGGUGCGUAGGCGGCUUUGCAAGUCAGAAGUGAAAUAUAUGGGCUUAACCCAUAAACUGCUGUUGAAACUGAAGGGCUUGAGUGAAGAAGAGGG
rnacentral:rRNA from 1 species